ensembl:miRNA
CUGUAGCUGAGGCUUUUAUCAGUCAGGCUCCUGGCUAGAUUCCAGGUACCAGCUGGUACCUGAUCUAGCCAAAGCCUGACUGUAAGCUGCUAAAGA